CUAGUCUUUAAUCAUUUAAGAAGUUUCUCAAAACCCAUCUCUUCAGGAAAGCUUAUGGCCUCCCAGAUAAACCUCUAUCUCACAUACUUGUCCCUUGCUCUCUCUUAAAGGGCAGCACUAUACUCUCUCCUCCAGCUCUCCCUCACUCCCACCUUCUUUGUUUGCGGUCCUAUUGUGUUUUAUACCCCACCUCCUCUAGACUGUAAGCUCGUUUGAGCAGGGUUCUCAUCAACAUUUUGUAAUUGUCUCAUCUAUCGUUAAAUCCCCUGCCCCCCCUGUAAUAUUGUAAAGUGCUACGGAAUAUGUUGGCGCAAUAUAAAUACCAAUAAUUAUAAUGAUAGGGCAACAUUGCAUAAAAUAAAAAACAUGCUGCUACAUGUAAAUGCAC